AGUCACGUGACCAAACCACGCCUCGGCACAGUGGCUCGAUACGUUUGCUUCAUGAGCUACAGCGCAUGUGUCGAAGCCUCGGGUAUCAGAGGACCAUCACUACUCAUGGCGCCUGCGCAGACGCUCGGUGGAAUUUCUGUUUACGUUUGAAUCAGCGACUCGCUCCUGGAAGCUGCGGAGAUUUAACCGGUAAAAAUGUGAUUAAAGUCAACAUUGAUCAUCAGUUCCUGGCUGCUGUGGAGAAAAUCUGUGGACCAGAGACAGACUUUACUGUCGGUGAACGUUUAUUACCGCUGCGUCUCUCAGGUUCCUGAUUUCCCAGCAGGGUUGGCGUUCCUCUGAAUAUGUUUCCGGUGAUGAAGAUAACUCCAUCCAAAGCUUCCAUGCAGACGUCCGUCGCUGCAGCGAAGAUCAAGAAUAAGAUUCUCAACACCUCGUCCUUCUUCAAGGUCUCUCUGAAGACCAACAAUAAGGCUCUGGCUCGGGCUCUGGAGGCCCAGAAGGAAAGAUGUCGGGAGCUGGAGAAGGAGGUGGUCUUCCUGAAGAAACAGAUCGAAGCCGACUGCUUCGAACGGGCGACCAAGAACUACAAGCAGAGUAAACUGAUCCUGAUCGUGAAGAACCUGCUCAGUAACACUCUGCAGCACUGGAACAUGGUGACGGAUCUGUUCCCUGAACCCGAGCUUUCAGAAGAUGCUUUGAUGUUCCCUGAAAUCAACCAGGCUCCUGCUGCAGCAGAAAGCCUCACAGAUCAGUUGCUGCUGCAGCCGGAAGUUUUCAGUGGUUCUUUGUGUCUGACUGAAACCGAAUCAGCUGACCAGCCUGAGAAGAUCCCCAGCAAAGACGUCUGCAGCGUCCAGAGACACGACAAGUCCUCACACGUUUCUGAUGACGCUGAGAAAAGAUGUUCGAGUUGGUUUGUUCAAGUCGCCCAGACAGGAAGCUCCAGCAGCCUGAGGGAGGAAGUGGAGAGACUGUCGAUGGUUUUAUCUCAGUCUGGGUUCGACAUGAAAUCUGUCCUCUCGGUCCAGAACCAGCAGACAUGUGGUCAGUCCAACUCCUCUUGUUCUGCUGUGGAACCUGAACCAUCGCCUGGAAACAAACCAGAGAAAACUCUGCUGCUGAACACCACAAUGGAGAUGACGCUCAGUAACGCCAGUGAGAUCAUCACUGUGGAAACCAAAACCAAAAAGACCAGAUGCUCCAAGAAACCGAAAGGCAAAAAGAAAGAAGAACAAACCUGUGCAGAGGCGAAGAACCCGGCAGAUUCCAGGUCCAGCGAAGAAGUUACCAGAACUGUGGGCCAAACGGUCAAAGAUUUUAGAGACACAGGAUGUCCUGAGCUUCAGUCGCCCAAAAUGUUGUAUAGAAACAUCACCACCUCUCGCAUCCCCAAACUGGCCAAACAUCAGAAAAUGUCGAAGAACAAAUUAAAAUCCAGAGAGUUGGUCCUACCAGACCUGGAUGAUUAUUUCACAGAUCCUGAAGUUCAGUCUUCAGAUGCCAGACAGACGGAUCCUUCAGAGGAGACAAACCCCAGAAUCACCUGCAGGAAGUCCAGAAAAACAGUCAGCAGGAAGACUUUAGUUCCUCGUGAGAUGGAGAGGAGUCUGUCCGAACUGCAGCAGAUUCACUCUGAACCUGAAGACCAAAUGAUGUUCUGUACAGAUGAGUCCAGACAGGUGGAACUUCUUCCCCCUCAUGGAAAUGAAUCACAGAGCAGAACGAAGACGGAUCCCAGUGGAGGCUCAAGGUGCAGAGGAACCUUUGUGAUCUCAGUGGACCAAGACAGCUUCUACUCCAGCAGAGCUUCACCAGAACCAGACCUGAUGCUUCCAGCAGGGUCCAGUCAGGAGGUUCUGGAUGGAAGCGAACAGUCCGACUGGAAUCCUCAGCCGGAGCCUCGGCGCUCCUGGAAGCGCUCCUGGACGGACGCUGAGAAGGUCAACCAACUCACUGACUCAGGGUCAGAGGUCCAGAAACAUAAAAAAUCCAGAAGAAAAGAAACGAGACCAUCCAGCAAGAAGAGAGAGGAAGACAUUUCAAAUGACAAGAAGAAGAAGAAGAAGAAGAAGAAAAGUCAGCGCAGCAACAAAGAGGUUGGAUUUGAGAAUGAAGCAGGUUCUGAUCCCAUUGAUGCUCCACCUGAACCCAGAACAGAAGAUUUACAGCUGCUGGACUCACAUCCUGACACCAGCAAGGAGGACCACUUCUUCCAGUAUCUGUCUUCCAAGUCCUGGACGGAUCUGAAACCAAACAGGAAGACGUUUGAUGUGAAUUCAGCGGCAGACUCCAGAAACCUUCGAGGGACGUUUGUUGUUUGUCGACGGAAAACUGGAGAUGAAAAUAUUUGUGUGAACGUCAGCAGGACAUCUGAGUCUGUCCACCACGAUGUUGGAGAUCUGCUGAUGGACGAGCUGCCACCGUGGAUGAACGGCGACGUGAACGCUGCCAACAUCGAAUCUUUACUGGCCAGUCCUAGCAGAGAAACGGAGAUCCAGGAGUCGACUGGAAACUCUCCAGCAGGAAGAGUUCUAUUGUCGCUGACGAACACGAUGUCGACUCCAGACGGGGAAGCUGGAGGAAGGACCAGGAGGAGGAGGAAAGGUGUGGUCAAUUACCUCGAGCCGACUCUGAGGAGCAAACUGAGGCGAGGAGACGAACACACCGACAGCACGUUCCUCAGCUCCCCAAUGUUCAAGGACAAGAGGAAGAAGAAAACUGUCAGCAAAACCAAGACAGACAGACCCAUGUUACUGGACUGAUUAUUAUCAGUUUCUCUGUUUAACUUUAUUUUUAGUUGUUUUUUCAAGUUUGCCUUAAAGUUCAAUAAAGAUGUUUUCUGGUAAAUUUGAAGUAUCUUUAAAGUUUCUCCUGGAGGUCAGUCCAUUUAUAGUCUGUGUUACGUCAUCUAACAAAAAUAUGCAUUUUCUUUUCAUUUCUGACCAUUUUAUCGAUAAAAUUAUACUUGAGUCACUGAAACCACAACUAGUAAAACUAGUUAGAAAUCUAGUUGUUCUUCUCAAUUCUUUACAUUUUGGAUAAAACCUCCUUAGAAAACUCUGUAUUCUUUGUAGUGGAGGAAAUAUUUGUAGUACUUGAGUCAUUUUUAUUGCUUCUGUGCUUCUAGUACAAAUGUUUCACUCCACUAUAUUUAACGGCUGUUUCACUGAAGGGCUUUAACUAAUAAAUGUCAUCAAU
ensembl:lncRNA